CCCCACCCAGUUGUCACCCUGACUCUUCAUGGCCAGCUUUGUCCUGCAAAGUGUGGCACUGCACAGGCUUCCCCUUAACGGGGUGGGGGAGGAACAUCCACAUACAUUAGAGAACAUUCUGUUCUUCUAUGAACUACCUUUCUUUGGCGAGCCCUGUGCAUUUUGAAGGGUAACCGAAACACAAUAGUCAGGAACUUGGGAAGCAAGAACUCUUGAAAAACUUGCAGGCAAUGAACACCAGCAAAUGAUAGGACUCAGAUGAGACAAUAAUCCAGUAAGUCAUAGGUCAGUGGAAGAAGGGGGAGUUUUAUCUGCAUCAGCUACAAUAUGAGAAUAUUUCCUACCCGGAAACCUAUAAGAAUUGACUUCCAAAUGUGCAAGAUAGGAUCUCUGAACUCUUUGGGGAGAUUUACAAGUUCAGGUAUGGAAGGGGCAGAAAUGACCAACUUCUAGAAGCUUUGUUUUGCAGCUCAACCACCUAAAAAUACAGAUACUACUUUGGAUAUUCUUCCAAAGGUCAUGGUCCAUUUUUAGGUGCCGCGGUUUUCCCCAGAGGCAGUGAAAGAGCAGCUGAUGACCUCUAUAUUGAAAACUGGGAGGAACUUGACGCGUCCUGAAGAUGCGUCACUGUUUGUCACCACCUGAGUAUUAUCAAGUAACUGAUACUGUGGGUGCAAGGAGGAGCCAGGCCUCUGGUAAGAUGACAUCUCAAUAUGAAGACUGCAUUUCCCAGAGGACAUAAGCAGAAAUAAUAUGCACAACUUCUAAGUUUUGUCCUAACAUGGAAAAGGCAUACCCUUCACUUCCACCUUCCCCCUUUCUGCUAUAAUGGAUAUGGGUGUGGUGGUAAGUCAUCUUGAACCAUCUGGAUGAGGGCAACACUGUACGGAUGGCAGAGAAGAUACAAGGAAAGGAUCCUGCAUUCCUCUGAAACCUCUCCCCUGUUUGAGUUCCACCUGUACACUUGAGGGACCAACCGCACGGGAGCACUUACUAUUCCUAAGUAGAUGACAUCCAUUCCCAUCUCUGGGCCUUCGGACAUGUCAGAUUUUGUGUGCAAGAGUCAGCUGCCUGACUCCACUCGAUUCUCUGCCUGGGAAACUCCUACUCAUGCUUCAGGACCCAGCCUCGAUGCCAUCCCCUCUGUGAAGUCUUCCUUGAUUCCCUCUGAGAAGAAUACUGCAGGUAAACAUAAAGUCUCCGAUAACAUGAAAAAGUUCUCCUGAAGGACCUUUUCAAAUCCAAGUCCAGAGCAAAAUGGUCAUGUGACUCCCUCCACCUACCCCCACCCCCUGAACUCAGCCUCCAAGCCUCCAAGCCUCCACUUUUGCUCUCGAGAAAACUGUCCUUAAUGUCUGCCGGACCUAUUGGUUUUAACCAAAUUUCUUCAGGAAAUACUUUAAAAUGAACAUUGGGGGAAAACCUCAAAAACAAUUCACAAAAGGACAGUCUAGUGGGGGCAUCAAGAAAAGAUGAAGAUACCUCCUGCCUUGACUUGUGAGAAUAUCUGUUUAUCCAACAAGCAUUGGCUGAGCACUUUCAAAAUCAAGGAAGUGCGCUGAGCACUUUCGAGGAAACAAAGAAGAGUAAAACCAGGUGCCCGCCAUCGCUGAAGCUCAUAUGCCAGUUGGGGAGCUAAGGGAAACAGAGGCAGUAAAGGGGUUGAAAGAGAUGGCCCUUGAGAUAGAACGGAAAUAUGAAGAGCUGUUCACCUGGUGGUCAACAAGUAUGCUUCCACUAGAAUUAAUAGCGUGUGUAAAUGGCCAGGACGCUGGGAAAGCUCAGGGCCAGUUGGGAGAACACUUAGAAGUGCUCUGUGGACAGUCUGAAGGUCAGCCUUGGCGACAGUGAUAAGGGCAAUUAGUAAAAUGUAAAACUGGGGCCAGAUUCUCCGUGCAUUAAGCGUCAUGACAAAUACAAACCAUUAAUAAUAGACUAUCAGCAAUUUAAAAGAGAGUAGUGACAUGGACCUUAUUUGCACUUCCCAAAGAUAAUCCUUGUGGGAGUGGAAAGG